rnacentral:rRNA from 1 species
AACGAACGCUGGCGGCAGGCUUAACACAUGCAAGUCGAGCGCCCCGCAAGGGGAGCGGCAGACGGGUGAGUAACGCGUGGGAACCUACCCAUCUCUACGGAAUAACGCAUGGAAACGUGUGCUAAUACCGUAUACGUUCUUCGGGAGAAAGAUCUAUCGGAGAUGGAUGAGCCCGCGUUGGAUUAGCUAGUUGGUGGGGUAAAGGCCUACCAAGGCGACGAUCCAUAGCUGGUCUGAGAGGAUGAUCAGCCACACUGGGACUGAGACACGGCCCAGACUCCUACGGGAGGCAGCAGUGGGGAAUAUUGGACAAUGGGCGCAAGCCUGAUCCAGCCAUGCCGCGUGAGUGAUGAAGGCCCUAGGGUUGUAAAGCUCUUUCACCGGUGGAGAUAAUGACGGUAACCGGAGAAGAAGCCCCGGCUAACUUCGUGCCAGCCGCCGCAGUAACAC